GACGAACGCUGGCGGCGUGCUUAACACAUGCAAGUCGAACGGAAAGGCCCUGCUUUUGUGGGGUGCUCGAGUGGCGAGCGGGUGAGUAACACGUGAGUAACCUGCCCUUGACUUUGGGAUAACUUCAGGAGACUGGGGCUAAUACCGGAUAGGAGCUCCUGCUGCAUGGUGGGGGUUGGAAAGUUUCGGCGGUUGGGGAUGGACUCGCGGCUUAUCAGCUUGUUGGUGGGGUAGUGGCUUACCAAGGCUUUGACGGGUAGCCGGCCUGGGAGGGUGACCGGCCACAUUGGGACUGAGAUACGGCCCAGACUCCUACGGGAGGCAGCAGUGGGGAAUAUUGCACAAUGGGCGGAAGCCUGAUGCAGCAACGCCGCGUGCGGGAUGACGGCCUUCGGGUUGUAAACCGCUUUCGCCUGUGACGAAGCGUGAGUGACGGUAAUGGGUAAAGAAGCACCGGCUAACUACGUG
rnacentral:rRNA from 1 species